UACUGUGGCAGCCAGCUUUCAAAAAAGCUCACUGGCUGGUCACCUUCUACUCCUCUGGCAGCCCCACCACACAUUCUUCUGCCGACCUCUGUUUUCAAGGUCAUCGACGUGCUCCUGUAAGGUGAAGUUAGAAGAUUCUGUCACACUAUUUUGAAGGACUGUGUAGGAGCGUAACCUCCCUGACUGGGGGCAAAGACUCAGGAACAAGGUUUUGAAGAAGUGGUAAGUGACGAUAUUGAAGAGCUGCUUGAGUCCCACUGUGAAGACCUCUCUACAGCUGAUCUACAGUAGCUUGUCACUGAGGAGGAUGUAGAAGCUGGAGAUGAAAUCAAUGAAGUCCAGGAUGCAGUACCACGAGAGCUUUCCACUUCCCUUUUGUCUUCUAUUCUGAGGGAAAUUGAGAAGCUGUUGCAGCUCUUCGAGGACAACAAUUACAACGCAGAAUGCAGCAGGAUAGCAGUUUGUUCAAUAAGAUAUCAUCUAACACCCCAUAAACAGCUUCUUCAAGACAGAAGAAAAUGGGGAAAGCAGCAAAAACUGGAAAUCUUUUUUAAACCAACCCUUAUGAAACUGUCGGAAGACAAUCAACCAUAACCAUUCACUUCUGAAACUACAACUGCACCUGAAGGUGUCGAUGAUGAUGAUGACCCUCUGUCCCUGUACUAACAAUGUUUUUUCAAUGUAAUGUGUUAAAUUUAUUUUUGU